rnacentral:tRNA from 1 species
GGAGGGAUACCAAAGUGGUUAAAUGGGGCGGACUGUAAAUCCGCUGGCUAUGCCUUCGUAGGUUCGAAUCCUACUCCCUCCACCA